GUGGCAGCAAACCCAAUCUGGGUGUGUCAGUCGUGCUCCCACUGGAGUCUGAGUUGAAGGAAUUUGUGGUGGACCUGCAUGAUUUGGUCUCAAUCAUCAGACCAGGUCGGGAGACUGUGGCUGCGCCAGCUGACCGAGCUUCGUUCAGCGCCUUGGAAUCGCCAUCACAGCAUGCUAGCGGAGCGGUCUAACCAACGCAUCAACAGCAAUAGAAUGUUUGCUGAUCCAAAGGGAGAGUUGGAUGCAGUGCCCUAGGAUCAGAACCCCGGAGCUGAGGUUUGUAC
ensembl:lncRNA